rnacentral:rRNA from 1 species
UACGAAGGGGGCUAGCGUUGCUCGGAAUCACUGGGCGUAAAGGGUGCGUAGGCGGGUCUUUAAGUCAGGGGUGAAAUCCUGGAGCUCAACUCCAGAACUGCCUUUGAUACUGAAGAUCUUGAGUUCGGGAGAGGUGAGUGGAACUGCGAGUGUAGAGGUGAAAUUCGUAGAUAUUCGCAAGAACACCAGUGGCGGAAGGCGGACU